UUAAGACAUCACAUACAACAUCUUGUGAACACUCUUUGUUUUACCAAAAUUGCUGCCAACACUUAGAACCAACAAACUCCCCCGUUGGCAAAUUUUGGCUAAAACAUAUAUCUGUCCCUUUUGUUCACCAGGAAACACAUCAGCAGUUAAACAGCAUAACAGCAGUUUAAAUAGCAGCAGAACCAAACACAGUUACUAGUUAUAGCUACUAGUAAUACACACAUGCACAAG
rnacentral:lncRNA from 1 species